rnacentral:rRNA from 1 species
AUUGAACGCUGGCGGCAGGCCUAACACAUGCAAGUCGAACGGUAACAGGAAGAAGCUUGCUUCUUUGCUGACGAGUGGCGGACGGGUGAGUAAUGUCUGGGAAACUGCCUGAUGGAGGGGGAUAACUACUGGAAACGGUAGCUAAUACCGCAUAACGUCGCAAGACCAAAGAGGGGGACCUUCGGGCCUCUUGCCAUCGGAUGUGCCCAGAUGGGAUUAGCUAGUAGGUGGGGUAACGGCUCACCUCGGCGACGAUCUCUAGCUGGUCUGAGAGGAUGACCAGCCACACUGGAACUGAGACACGGUCCAGACUCCUACGGGAGGCAGCAGUGGGGAAUAUUGCACAAUGGGCGCAAGCCUGAUGCAGCCAUGCCGCGUGUAUGAAGAAGGCCUUCGGGUUGUAAAGUACUUUCAGCGGGGAGGAAGGGAGUAAAGUUAAUACCUUUACUCAUUGACGUUACCCGCAGAAGAAGCACCGGCUAACUCCGUG